GAUCAUAUUUUUCCUCAGAUUCCUAUUACUGUUCCACAUUUGACUUCCUUAUAAAUCUGCCGUAUCUGAAAUGCUUCACCACACCCUUCUUGUCAGGCAUCUUCUGACUGUCUCACGUGAUGCUGUCAUUAUUCCCAGGUGAUAAUCAACCGUUAAAGAAAAAAAGGAAAAGAUGUGUGCUUAUGAUGCUGCAGCUCAGCAGCAUGAUUGAGAAUAUGGUGCCCCAUCACGAAGACUGAAGGCUGUGGAGAAUGGAGUUUGGGACUGUUCUGACAGCCUUGUGGCCUUUUCUUGGCUUGGGUUAUAAUACCCAUGUAAUAAGGUAGCUUGUUGGCUUUAGCUGAUGCCUCUUCAAGAGGCAGACACAUCUGAGGGCUGCGGAUCCUCCUGUUCUGCACCUAGACUAGCCCAGCUCUAGAGCUCCCUCCCUCACAACUAUCAUCCUCAGGCGACACUGUGUAUCUGCAUUUCGCACAAUUAACCCCAUGGUGCCUGCUGUGUGCUCCCAUGCUGCAUCUGCAGUUUGUGCUGAGAAGAGACCACCAGAGGAGGAAGUGUGCUAAAAAGAAUUAGAACUGCUUAUCUUGCUGUGGAAUGAAAAAACCCUUUCCAAGUCAACAUCCAGAAGUUUCUGACAGUGAGAAGAGGUGUUAACAGUUGCCAUGAAAGGGCUACUGAACUUGGUAUUAGCAUGGAGGUUAUUUCUUCAUCAGAAAUAACCCCCACACAACUGAUUAAAAUGGUAAGGAACAGAUCCCAUUGACAGAAACUUUGUCUUCCUUUGGGUCCAAGCACAUGCACACAAGGAAAGAAUUAAAACAACAGUUUACAUCCUACUACUGAUGAAUUCUCUUAUGUUGUGGAGAAGGGGAAAAGCUAGAUUUCGAUCACGUGAACCUCUUUGUAAUGAGUUAAUGAAGUAAAGAUUCCUCCUUCAGGAAACCCCUGACAGCUACACUGUACGCUAUAAAUCUUGAUGAUUCUUGGAGAGAGGUUGUGUUUGGCUCCUGAGGUGUUUCACAGGAAAAUACAACACACUCUUGAUGACAUACUAGAGGGAGAGUAUUGAGGAUUGCAUAGAUGAAGUUUUGAUCCUUGGAAAUACACUUUUUCAGGGUUGAUUGUUUUGGCAUGUAAGCAUCAUCUAUAAUGUUCUGCUAUUUUAAUCAAGUUUUUGAUUUUUAAUGUCUGUUGGUCCUUUUUGCUGGGCCAUUAGCAGUUUAUUAAGCAGGAAGAUCCAUGUGGUGUUUUGGAAAGCUCCAAGGUAACAUUUCUGGUCAAAUCUAAAGUAUGUUGCUACAGUCCAAUUUUGGAGUUCAGUAAAUACAUAUCUGAGUUCCCAGCCACUGAUUUAUAUAUGUAAAAGUGGAAGUGCAGCCAUAGAAGAAACUGGAAUAAAAGCCCAUAGGCUUGUCAUUAUGGCUAUCUGUUGCAACCUUGAAGGACUGAGGACAUGAGCAUGGAUCUGAACACCAUUCUGCCUCUGCUCUUGAGACUGUUGUUGGUUGCUCUGACUAAAAUUUGUUCUUUGCUUUUAUGUAAUAUGUGAAAGAGUUUGGUUUUGUAAGUGGAAAACUAUUAUAGGUCUCUGAAGUUGGUUUGAACAAGAUAGCAACUUCCCAUGGAAGCUAUAUAAAAGCAGCUUUGUGUGGAGACAACUAUAUGGUUAAGAAUAGUCUUCAUUUAAAAUACAUCUCUCUUUCCAAUAUUGCUUCUAAUUCAAAUAUACCAUAGAUCACAUUUCAUUGUAUGAAAAACUCAGUUUUAUCACUGAUGCAUUUGUCUUUCAGUUCAAAUAUGUUAUUUAAGUGCUGAAGCAACUUAAACAUUGAUAUAUUAAGUUAGAUUUUUUGAUAUGAGAAUUGAGUUAUAAUCUAAGGUAUAAAAUAAAUGCAUGGGGAAAUGUUUCUUUAAUGCAUUGUUGACUAAUCUGCUAAAAGAGCUUUGUAAUGUCACACCGGACUAGUAGAAGUUUAUAUCACUUAUAAGUGACAUGAUGACUUGACAGUGGCUCUUGGCAAGGCUGAAACUCAAAAGCUGAUCUGCAAUUAAAAGAAAUUCAGGUAAU
rnacentral:lncRNA from 7 species